rnacentral:rRNA from 1 species
UACGUAGGGUGCGAGCGUUAAUCGGAAUUACUGGGCGUAAAGCGUGCGCAGGCGGUUCGUUAAGUCAGAUGUGAAAGCCCCGGGCUCAACCUGGGAACUGCAUUUGAAACUGGCGGGCUUGAGUAUGGCAGAGGGGGGUGGAAUUCCGCGUGUAGCAGUGAAAUGCGUAGAGAUGCGGAGGAACACCAGUGGCGAAGGCGGCUCACUGGCCCAUAACUGACGCUGAGGCACGAAAGCGUGGGGGAGCAAACAGG